UACGUAGGGUGCGAGCGUUAAUCGGAAUUACUGGGCGUAAAGCGUGCGCAGGCGGUUGUGUAAGACAGAUGUGAAAUCCCCGGGCUCAACCUGGGAACUGCAUUUGUGACUGCACAGCUGGAGUGCGGCAGAGGGGGGAUGGAAUUCCGCGUGUAGCAGUGAAAUGCGUAGAUAUGCGGAGGAACACCGAUGGCGAAGGCAAUCCCCUGGGCCUGCACUGACGCUCAUGCACGAAAGCGUGGGGAGCAAACAGG
rnacentral:rRNA from 1 species